GCGUGAGGGAUGACGGCCUUCGGGUUGUAAACCUCUUUUAGCCAGGAAAAACCGUGUGUGACGGUACUUGCAGAAAACGCGCCGGCUAACUUCGUGCCACCCUCCGCGGUAAUACGUAGGGCGCAAGCGUUAUCCGGAAUUAUUGGGCGUAAAGAGCUCGUAGGCGGUUUGUCGCGUCUGCUGUGAAAUCCCGAGGCUCAACCUCGGGCCUGCAGUGGGUACGGGCAGACUAGAGUGCGGUAGGGGAGAUUGGAAUUCCUGGUGUAGCGGUGGAAUGCGCAGAUAUCAGGAGGAACACCGAUGGCGAAGGCAGAUCUCUGGGCCGUAACUGACGCUGAGGAGCGAAAGGGUGGGGAGCAAACAGGCUUAGAUACCCUGGUAGUCCACCCCGUAAACGUUGGGAACUAGUUGUGGGGUCCUUUCCACGGAUUCCGUGACGCAGCUAACGCAUUAAGUUCCCCGCCUGGGGAGUACGGCCGCAAGGCUAAAACUCAAAGGAAUUGACGGGGACCCGCACAAGCGGCGGAGCAUGCGGAUUAAUUCGAUGCAACGCGAAGAACCUUACCAAGGCUUGACAUACACGAGAACACCCUAGAAAUAGGGGACUCUUUGGACACUCGUGAACAGGUGGUGCAUGGUUGUCGUCAGCUCGUGUCGUGAGAUGUUGGGUUAAGUCCCGCAACGAGCGCAACCCUCGUUCUAUGUUGCCAGCACGUAAUGGUGGGAACUCAUGGGAUACUGCCGGGGUCAACUCGGAGGAAGGUGGGGAUGACGUCAAAUCAUCAUGCCCCUUAUGUCUUGGGCUUCACGCAUGCUACAAUGGCCGGUACAAAGGGCUGCAAUACCGUGAGGUGGAGCGAAUCCCAAAAAGCCGGUCCCAGUUCGGAUUGAGGUCUGCAACUCGACCUCAUGAAGUCGGAGUCGCUAGUAAUCGCAGAUCAGCAACGCUGCGGUGAAUACGUUCCCGGGUCUUGUACACACCGCCCGUCA
rnacentral:rRNA from 1 species